rnacentral:rRNA from 1 species
ACGGAGGAUCCAAGCGUUAUCCGGAAUCAUUGGGUUUAAAGGGUCCGUAGGCGGUUUAAUAAGUCAGUGGUGAAAGCCCAUCGCUCAACGGUGGAACGGCCAUUGAUACUGUUAAACUUGAAUUAUUAGGAAGUAACUAGAAUAUGUAGUGUAGCGGUGAAAUGCUUAGAGAUUACAUGGAAUACCAAUUGCGAAGGCAGGUUACUACUAAUGGAUUGACGCUGAUGGACGAAAGCGUGGGUAGCGAACAGGAUUAGAUACCCUGGUAGUCCACGCCGUAAACGAUGGAUACUAGCUGUUCGGAGCAAUCUGAGUGGCUAAGCGAAAGUGAUAAGUAUCCCACCUGGGGAGUACGUUCGCAAGAAUG